rnacentral:lncRNA from 1 species
UAAGAGGGAGGUGGCGCCCCACCUUGCCGAGCCUGGAAAUCUUCCUCGUACACAAGCCGGUUCAGUCGCUCCGAGGGCCGGGCCAGGCGGUAUGGGAGGCGCGGUGGGGCCAGAGGGGAGCCCCGGCUGGUGGCCCCCCGGGACCUAGCCAAGGGGCGAGCUAGCUCAGCAAAGGCCCCCGGACUGCAUGGGGGGGCUACAGGAGCAGCUGCCCCUUCGUACCCAAAGAAGGACCCAAGUAAAUCCCGCCCAGCCCCGGGUGAUCGCCUAGGAGCUGCCGGCUGCGCCCCUUCGCCCUGCCCGCGGCAGCCCCCCGGGUUUAAACUGGACCAGCCCCCUGGACGGCUUGGGGGCUCGGUGUGGGAGCCGCAAUGGGGUUGGCAGCGCCCUGGAGCUGCUGAAGGGGAAAGUGGCGUGUGCGCCCCGGGCCCCAGCCGCUGGAGAUGCAGUGGGGAAGCGUUUACAUGCCAGCGCCUGCUCCUUUCUCCCACGCCGCAUUGGCAUGUUGAUCCCACUGGAUCGGCACUCCAGGAGAUAAAGUGAAGACGCGGCCCGAGUGAUGGAGAAGCCAUUCCUUUCUUUCUGGCGUAGCGUCUUCCCACGUGACUGAGCGGCGGGGACACAGAACGCCGUCGGCAGCAUUUUCCAUCGCGAGCAUCCGGGUAUUGACCUGGCUUCCUUGAGGUUUAUCUUCCUCCCAUUUGUACUUUCUGAAAGUCUCCCUCCGGCGGCCAUGUUCCUCUAGCAUUGCGCAGAAGAUGGGGGCGGGGGUUGGUCCGGGAAGCAAGUCUGAGAUGCAGCGUGUCUCCCCGACACGUGUCUAGCGUGGGUGGCCAGUGGAUUCAGCUUGCGUCCAGUAAAAUGCUGCUUCUCUCUUGAUCUAGGACUGUCCGGGGCUGGCAUGGAAGGGACGGCUGCACCCCUGCAGUGCUGUGCGCAGCUUCGCCUCCGUCACCUGAGGGGUAGCGCCUCUUGCUCUGUAAGUGCAUUCUCUCCCGUUGUGGAGCCAAGUUCUGUUAACGUGGGGGGGGGGGGGGG